GUGUCAGCCGCCGUGGUAAUACAGAGGGUGCAAGCGUUAAUCGGAAUUACUGGGCGUAAGGCGUGCGCAGGCGGUUAUGUAAGACAGAUGUGAAAUCCCCGGGCUCAACCUGGGAACUGCAUUUGUGACUGCAUGGCUAGAGUACGGUAGAGGGGGAUGGAAUUCCGCGUGUAGCAGUGAAAUGCGUAGAUAUGCGGAGGAACACCGAUGGCGAAGGCAAUCCCCUGGACCUGUACUGACGCUCAUGCACGAAAGCGUGGGGAGCAAACAGGAUUAGAAACCCGGGUAGUCC
rnacentral:rRNA from 1 species